KGAGGAUUAGCAUAAUUGGUAAUGCACCGGUCUUGAAAACCGGCGGCUUCGGCUUUGUGGGUUCGAGUCCCUCAUCCUCCGCCA
rnacentral:tRNA from 1 species